CAAGACGUAGCUUAAACAAAGCAUUCAGCUUACACCUGAAAAAUGUCUGUUAACAUCAGAUCGUCUUGA